rnacentral:rRNA from 1 species
UGCCAGACUCCUACGGGAGGCAGCAGUGAGGAAUAUUGGUCAAUGGGCGGAAGCCUGAACCAGCCAAGUCGCGUGAGGGAAUAAGGCCCUACGGGUCGUAAACCUCUUUUGCCGGGGAGCAAGGGCGGGGACGUGUCCCGGCCCGGAGAGUACCCGGAGAAAAAGCAUCGGCUAACUCCGUGCCAGCAGCCGCGGUAAUACGGAGGAUGCGAGCGUUAUCCGGAUUUAUUGGGUUUAAAGGGGGCGUAGGCGGGAUGCCAAGUCAGCGGUAAAAAUGCGGUGCUAAACGCCGUCGAGCCGUUGAAACUGGCGUUCUUGAGUGGGCGAGAAGUAUGCGGAAUGCGUGGUGUAGCGGUGAAAUGCAUAGAUAUCACGCAGAACUCCGAUUGCGAAGGCAGCAUGCCGGCGCCCAACUGACGCUGAAGCACGAAAGCGUGGGUAUCGAACAGGAUUAGAUACCCGCGUAAC